rnacentral:rRNA from 1 species
UAGGUGAACCUGCGGAAGGAUCAUUAGAGAAAACUGGGUUCGACUUCGGUCUGCCCGAUCUACCCCACACACACCUGUGAACCGUUUAUAUUGGAGUCUCAACGGCCUUUAACCGGGCUGGCGGGCUCCUACUUUACAAAACAUCUGUAACAAGUCUUGAACGUCUAUAGUUAUAUUUUAACAAAAAUAAAACUUUCAACAACGGAUCUCUUGGCUCCCACAUCGAUGAAGAACGCAGCGAAAUGCGAUAAGUAAUGUGAAUUGCAGAAUCAGUGAAUCAUCGAGUCUUUGAACGCAACUUGCGCCCUUUGGUAUUCCGAAGGGCAUGCCUGUUUGAGUGUCAUGAAAACCUCAAUCCCUCCGGUUUUAACCGACCGGUUGGACUUGGAUCUGGGUGCUGCCGCGGCUCACGCCGGUCGGCUCGCCUUAAAAGUGUUAGUGGGACGGUGAACACCCGUCAGCCUGGCGUAAUAAGUUUCGCUGGGCCUCUGGGGUCGUUCGACGGCUUGCUCAUAACAACCAACUUUCUAUGACUCUGACCUCAAAUCAGGUAGGGCUACCCGCUGAACUUAAGCAUAUCAAUAAGCGGAGGA